rnacentral:tRNA from 1 species
UAGCUCAGUGGUAGAGUGAUUGCUUGGCAUACAUAAGGCCCUGGGUUAAAUUCCCAG